rnacentral:piRNA from 1 species
UCCAGAAGUUCCCCAGUGGCUCCUCCCC